rnacentral:rRNA from 1 species
GAGAGUGGGUUAGUCGCACGAGCGCACCUUACUUUUAGUCGCCAUCAUUUAGUUGGGCACUCUAAAAGAACUGCCGGUGAUAAGCUGGAGGAAGGUGGGGAUGACGUCAAGUCCUCAUGGCCCUUAUGUGUUGGGCUACACACGUGCUACAAUGGUAUUUACAGUGAGAAGCGAAAUGGCGACUCUAAGCUAAUCCCAUAAAAAGUGCCUCAGUUCGGAUUGUACUCUGCAACUCGAGUACAUGAAGCUGGAAUUACUAGUAAUCGCGGAUCAGCGCGCCGCGGUGAAUACGUUCCCGGGUCUUGUACACACCGCCCAUCACACCAUGGAAGUUGGUUCAUACCUUAAGGCAAGGAUUAAUAUCUUUGACCACGGUAUAAUCAGCGACUGGGGUGAAGUCGUAACAAGGUAGCCGUAGGGGAACCUGCGGCUGGAUCACCUCCUUUCU